rnacentral:rRNA from 1 species
AGCGAACGCUGGCGGCAGGCCUAACACAUGCAAGUCGAACGAGCCUUCGGGCUAGUGGCGGACGGGUGAGUAACACGUGGGAACGUACCUUUAGGUUCGGAAUAACUCAGGGAAACUUGAGCUAAUACCGGAUGUGCCCUUCGGGUGAAAGAUUUAUCGCCUUUAGAGCGGCCCGCGUUAGAUUAGCUAGUUGGUGGGGUAAUGGCCCACCAAGGCUACGAUCUAUAGCUGGUCUGAGAGGAUGAUCAGCCACACUGGGACUGAGACACGGCCCAGACUCCUACGGGAGGCAGCAGUGGGGAAUCUUGCGCAAUGGGCGAAAGCCUGACGCAGCCAUGCCGCGUGAAUGAUGAAGGUCUUAGGAUUGUAAAAUUCUUUUAGCAGGGACGAUAAUGACGGUACCUGCAGAAAAAGCCCCGGCUAGCUUCGUGCCAGCCGCCGCAGUAA